rnacentral:rRNA from 1 species
CGUGAGACAGUUCGGUCCCUAUCUGCCGUGGGCGCUGGAGAACUGAGGGGGGCUGCUCCUAGUACGAGAGGACCGGAGUGGACGCAUCACUGGUGUUCGGGUUGUCAUGCCAAUGGCACUGCCCGGUAGCUAAAUGCGGAAGAGAUAAGUGCUGAAAGCAUCUAAGCACGAAACUUGCCCCGAGAUGAGUUCUCCCUGACCCUUUAAGGGUCCUGAAGGAACGUUGAAGACGACGACGUUGAUAGGCCGGGUGUGUAAGCGCAGCGAUGCGUUGAGCUAACCGGUACUAAUGAACCGUGAGGCUUAACCUUACAACGCCGAAGCUGUU